rnacentral:rRNA from 1 species
UACGAAGGGGGCUAGCGUUGCUCGGAAUCACUGGGCGUAAAGCGCACGUAGGCGGGUCCUUAAGUCAGGGGUGAAAUCCCGGGGCUCAACCUCGGAACUGCCCUUGAAACUGCAGUGCUAGAAUCUUGGAGAGGCGAGUGGAAUUCCGAGUGUAGAGGUGAAAUUCGUAGAUAUUCGGAAGAACACCAGUGGCGAAGGCGACUCGCUGGACAAGUAUUGACGCUGAGGUGCGAAAGCGUGGGGAGCAAACAGG